UGGGGAAUUUUGGACAAUGGGCGAAAGCCUGAUCCAGCAAUGCCGCGUGUGUGAAGAAGGCCUUCGGGUUGUAAAGCACUUUUGUCCGGAAAGAAAUCCUCUGGGUUAAUACCUCGGGGGGAUGACGGUACCGGAAGAAUAAGCACCGGCUAACUACGUGCCAGCAGCCGCGGUGAUACGUAGGGUGCAAGCGUUAAUCGGAAUUACUGGGCGUAAAGCGUGCGCAGGCGGUUUUGUAAGACGGAUGUGAAAUCCCCGGGCUUAACCUGGGAACUGCAUUCGUGACUGCAAGGCUAGAGUAUGGCAGAGGGGGGUAGAAUUCCACGUGUAGCAGCGAAAUGCGUAGAGAUGUGGAGGAAUACCGAUGGCGAAGGCAGCCCCCUGGGCCAAUACUGACGCUCAUGCACGAAAGCGUGGGGAGCAAACA
rnacentral:rRNA from 1 species